rnacentral:rRNA from 1 species
AGCGAACGCUGGCGGCAGGCCUAACACAUGCAAGUCGAACGGAUCCUUCGGGAUUAGUGGCGGACGGGUGAGUAACACGUGGGAACGUGCCCUUUGGUUCGGAACAACUCAGGGAAACUUGAGCUAAUACCGGAUAAGCCCUCCGGGGGAAAGAUUUAUCGCCAUUGGAGCGGCCCGCGUAGGAUUAGCUAGUUGGUGGG